rnacentral:rRNA from 1 species
GCGUGGUGGACGGCUCGGUUCCC